rnacentral:rRNA from 1 species
GGAAUUGUUCGCAAUGGGCGCAAGCCUGACGACGCAACGCCGCGUGGAGGAUGAAGGUCUUCGGAUUGUAAACUCCUGUUGCCCGGGACGAAAUGCUCCAGCCUAAUACGCUGGAGUUUGACGGUACAGGGUGAGGAAGCCCAGGCUAACUCUGUGCCAGCAGCCGCGGUAAUACAGAGGGGGCGAGCGUUGUUCGGAAUUACUGGGCGUAAAGGGCGCGUAGGCGGCCUGCUAAGUCGACCGUGAAAUCCCUGGGCUCAACCCAGGAACUGCGUCCGAUACUGGUUGGCUUGAAUCCGGGAGAGGGAUGUGGAAUUCCAGGUGUAGCGGUGAAAUGCGUAGAUAUCUGGAGGAACACCGGUGGCGAGGGCGACAUCCUGGACCGGCAUUGACGCUGAGGCGCGAAAGCCAGGGGAGCAAAC